AAAUUGAAGAGUUUGAUCAUGGCUCAGAUUGAACGCUGGCGGCAGGCCUAACACAUGCAAGUCGAACGGUAGCACAGAGAGCUUGCUCUCGGGUGACGAGUGGCGGACGGGUGAGUAAUGUCUGGGAAACUGCCUGAUGGAGGGGGAUAACUACUGGAAACGGUGGCUAAUACCGCAUAACGUCGCAAGACCAAAGAGGGGGACCUUCGGGCCUCUUGCCAUCAGAUGUGCCCAGAUGGGAUUAGCUUGUUGGUGAG
rnacentral:rRNA from 1 species